ensembl:lncRNA
GUGGAGGCUAUAUACAGGGUAUUACGGUACAGAGUCAAUGUGGAGGCUAUAUACAGGGGGUACCGGUACAGAGUCAAUGUGGAGGCUAUAUACAGUGGGUACCGGUACAGAGUCAAUGUGGAGGCUAUAUACAGGGGGUACUGGUACAGAGUCAAUGUGGAGGCUAUAUACAGUGGGUACCGGUACAGAGUCAAUGUGGAGGCUAUAUACAGGGGGUACCGGUACAGAGUCAAUGUGGAGGCUAUAUACAGUGGGUACCGGUACAGAGUCAAUGUGGAGGCUAUAUACAGGGGGUACCGGUACAUAGUCAAUGUGGAGGCUAUAUACAGGGGGUACCGGUACAUAGUCAAUGUGGAGGCUAUAUACAGGGGGUACCGGUACAGAGUCAAUGUGGAGGCUAUAUACAGGGGUACUGGUACAGAGUCAAUGUGGAGGCUAUAUACAGGGGGUACCGGUACAGAGUCAAUGUGGAGGCUAUAUACAGGGGGUACCGGUGUCAAGGUAAUUGAGGUAAUAUGUAUAUGUGGGUAGAGUUAUUAAAGUGACAAUGCAUAGAUAAUAACAGGGAGUAGCAGGAGUAUGGGGG